UACGUAGGGGGCAAGCGUUGUCCGGAUUUAUUGGGCGUAAAGAGUGUGUAGGCGGCCAGGUAGGUCCGUUGUGAAAACUCGAGGCUCAACCUCGAGACGUCGGCGGAAACCCUCUGGCUAGAGUCCGGAAGAGGAGAGUGGAAUUCCUGGUGUAGCGGUGAAAUGCGCAGAUAUCAGGAAGAACACCCGUGGCGAAGGCGGCUCUCUGGGACGGUACUGACGCUGAGACGCGAAAGCGUGGGGAGCGAACAGG
rnacentral:rRNA from 1 species